rnacentral:rRNA from 1 species
GCAAGCCGAGCGGUAGAGAUCUUUCGGGAUCUUGAGAGCGGCGUACGGGUGCGGAACACGUGUGCAACCUGCCUUUAUCUGGGGGAUAGCCUUUCGAAAGGAAGAUUAAUACCCCAUAAUAUACUGAAUGGCAUCAUUCGGUAUUGAAAACUCCGGUGGAUAGAGAUGGGCACGCGCAAGAUUAGAUAGUUGGUGAGGUAACGGCUCACCAAGUCUACGAUCUUUAGGGGGCCUGAGAGGGUGAUCCCCCACACUGGUACUGAGACACGGACCAGACUCCUACGGGAGGCAGCAGUGAGGAAUAUUGGACAAUGGGUGAGAGCCUGAUCCAGCCAUCCCGCGUGAAGGACGACGGCCCUAUGGGUUGUAAACUUCUUUUGUAUAGGGAUAAACCUACCCUCGUGAGGGUAGCUGAAGGUACUAUACGAAUAAGCACCGGCUAACUCCGUGCCAGCAGCCGCGGUAAUACGGAGGGUGCAAGCGUUAUCCGGAUUUAUUGGGUUUAAAGGGUCCGUAGGCGGAUCUGUAAGUCAGUGGUGAAAUCUCACAGCUUAACUGUGAAACUGCCAUUGAUACUGCAGGUCUUGAGUGUUGUUGAAGUAGCUGGAAUAAGUAGUGUAGCGGUGAAAUGCAUAGAUAUUACUUAGAACACCAAUUGCGAAGGCAGGUUACUAAGCAACAACUGACGCUGAUGGACGAAAGCGUGGGGAGCGAACAGGAUUAGAUACCCUGGUAGUCCACGCCGUAAACGAUGCUAACUCGUUUUUGGAAUGUAAGUUUCAGAGACUAAGCGAAAGUGAUAAGUUAGCCACCUGGGGAGUACGAACGCAAGUUUGAAACUCAAAGGAAUUGACGGGGGCCCGCACAAGCGGUGGAUUAUGUGGUUUAAUUCGAUGAUACGCGAGGAACCUUACCAAGGCUUAAAUGGGAAAUGACAGGUUUAGAAAUAGACUUUUCUUCGGACAUUUUUCAAGGUGCUGCAUGGUUGUCGUCAGCUCGUGCCGUGAGGUGUUAGGUUAAGUCCUGCAACGAGCGCAACCCCUGUCACUAGUUGCCAUCAUUAAGUUGGGGACUCUAGUGAGACUGCCUACGCAAGUAGAGAGGAAGGUGGGGAUGACGUCAAAAUCAUCACGGCCCUUACGCCUUGGGCCACACACGUAAUACAAUGGCCGGUACAGAGGGCAGCUACACUGCGAAGUGAUGCAAAUCUCGAAAGCCGGUCUCAGUUCGGAUUGGAGUCUGCAACUCGACUCUAUGAAGCUGGAAUCGCUAGUAAUCGCGCAUCAGCCAUGGCGCGGUGAAUACGUUCCCGGGCCUUGUACACACCGCCCCGUCA